UACGGAAGGUCCGGGCGUUAUCCGGAUUUACUGGGUGUAAAGGGCGUGUAGGCGGGGAAGCAAGUCAGAUGUGAAAACCACGGGCUCAACCUGUGGCCUGCAUUUGAAACUGUUUUUCUUGAGUACUGGAGAGGCAGACGGAAUUCCUAGUGUAGCGGUGAAAUGCGUAGAUAUUAGGAGGAACACCAGUGGCGAAGGCGGUCUGCUGGACAGCAACUGACGCUGAGGCGCGAAAGCGUGGGGAGCAAACAGG
rnacentral:rRNA from 1 species